AGUGGCGAACGGGUGAGUAACACGUGACCAACCUGCCUCUUACAUUGGGACAACCAAAAGAAAUUCUGGCUAAUACCAAAUACUCCGCACACAUCACAUGAUGUAUGCGGGAAAGCUUUUGCGGUAAGAGAUGGGGUCGCGGCCCAUUAGGUAGACGGCGGGGUAGAAGCCCACCGUGCCGAUGAUGGGUAGCCGGGUUGAGAGACCGACCGGCCACAUUGGGACUGAGAUACGGCCCAGACUCCUACGGGAGGCAGCAGGC
rnacentral:rRNA from 1 species